ensembl:lncRNA
AUGCAGACAUCAUUCUUCCCCGGGGAGCAUACCGGGGAUAAUAUAGCGGAGGAGAUGAGAGGUGCGUUAGCAGACUGGAACUUGAAGGAGGACCAACAAGUUUGCAUGACGACUGAUAAUGCAUCGAACAUGAUAAAGGCUUUGGAGGUGAAUGGCUGGACGCGCCUUCAGUACAUCGGACACAGGCUACACCUGGCAAUAGGUACGUUUUGCUAUGUUUAUUUUUAAUAACUUUGAGACAGAGAGAGGGAGAGAGGUCUGUGUAUGUGUGUGUGUGUGUGAGA